rnacentral:rRNA from 1 species
GGUGAACGCUGGCGGCGUGCUUAACACAUGCAAGUCGAACGGAAAGGCCCCAGCUUGCUGGGGUACUCGAGUGGCGAACGGGUGAGUAACACGUGGGUGAUCUGCCCUGCACUUUGGGAUAAGCUUGGGAAACUGGGUCUAAUACCGAAUAUGACCACUUCUUGGAUGUUGUGGUGGAAAGCUUUUGCGGUGUGGGAUGAGCCUGCGGCCUAUCAGCUUGUUGGUGGGGUAAUGGCCUACCAAGGCGGCGACGGGUAUCCGGCCUGAGAGGGUGUACGGACACAUUGGGGCUGAGAUACGGCCCAGACGCCUACGGGAGGCAGCAGUGGGGAAUAUUGCACAAUGGGCGCAAGCCUGAUGCGGCGACGCCGCGUGGGGGAUGAAGGCCUUCGGGUUGUAAACUCCUUUCGCUAUCGACGAAGCCACUUGUGGUGACGGUAGGUAGAUAAGAAGCACCGGCUAACUACGUGCCAGCCGCCGCCGUAA